GGAUCCUUAACACACUGAGCAAGGCAAGGGAUCGAACCCGCAUCCUCAUGGAUCCUAGUCAGAUUUGUUAAUCGCUGAACCAUGAAGGAAAUUCCCUCAAGCCUUCAAAUUUUAAAAAGGAAACGUCCUGGACCAGGCCCACCUGUCAGUGGAUGUGGGAGGAAGGAAUGAACACAUUCCCUUUGGAGUCUGACCAGAACCAGGAAAUGCUUGACGUUUGUUACUCCCUCCCCUUUCAGAAGAAAAGAAAA